rnacentral:rRNA from 1 species
AGAGUUUGAUCCUGGCUCAGGAUGAACGCUAGCGGCAGGCUUAACACAUGCAAGUCGAGGGGUAUAGGUUUUCGGACCUAGAGACCGGCGCACGGGUGCGUAACGCGUAUGCAAUCUACCUUUUACAGAGGGAUAGCCCAGAGAAAUUUGGAUUAAUACCUCAUAGUAUUAUUGAAUGGCAUCAUUUAAUAAUUAAAGUCACAACGGUAAAAGAUGAGCAUGCGUCCCAUUAGCUAGAUGGUAAGGUAACGGCUUACCAUGGCGACGAUGGGUAGGGGUCCUGAGAGGGAGAUCCCCCACACUGGUACUGAGACACGGACCAGACUCCUACGGGAGGCAGCAGUGAGGAAUAUUGGUCAAUGGGCGCAAGCCUGAACCAGCCAUGCCGCGUGCAGGAUGACGGUCCUAUGGAUUGUAAACUGCUUUUGUACAGGAAGAAACAGUUCUACGUGUAGAACCUUGACGGUACUGUAAGAAUAAGGAUCGGCUAACUCCGUGCCAGCAGCCGCGGUAAUACGGAGGAUCCAAGCGUUAUCCGGAAUCAUUGGGUUUAAAGGGUCCGUAGGCGGUUUUGUAAGUCAGUGGUGAAAGCCCAUCGCUCAACGGUGGAACGGCCAUUGAUACUGCAAGACUUGAAUUAUUAGGAAGUAACUAGAAUAUGUAGUGUAGCGGUGAAAUGCUUAGAGAUUACAUGGAAUACCAAUUGCGAAGGCAGGUUACUACUAAUUGAUUGACGCUGAUGGACGAAAGCGUGGGGAGCGAACAGGAUUAGAUACCCUGGUAGUCCACGCCGUAAACGAUGGAUACUAGCUGUUCGGAGCAAUCUGAGUGGCUAAGCGAAAGUGAUAAGUAUCCCACCUGGGGAGUACGUUCGCAAGAAUGAAACUCAAAGGAAUUGACGG